AAUCCAUGGUGAGGGCAAUCACGUUCAUACUCCUUAAAACGUUCCCAGGCUUCAUAGAAAGAUUCAGUCGGCUUGAGAUAUUUGUUCUCAACUGGUUCGACCUUGACUUAGUAU
rnacentral:snoRNA from 1 species